rnacentral:rRNA from 1 species
CCUACGGGAGGCAGCAGUCGAGAAUCAUUCACAAUGGGGGAAACCCUGAUGGUGCGACGCCGCGUGGGGGAAUGAAGGUCUUCGGAUUGUAAACCCCUGUCAUGUGGGAGCAAAUUAAAAAGAUAGUACCACAAGAGGAAGAGACGGCUAACUCUGUGCCAGCAGCCGCGGUAAUACAGAGGUCUCAAGCGUUGUUCGGAAUCACUGGGCGUAAAGGGUGCGUAGGCUGUUUCGUAAGUCGUGUGUGAAAGGCGCGGGCUCAACCCGCGGACGGCACAUGAGACUGCGAGACUAGAGUAAUGGAGGGGGAACCGGAAUUCUCGGUGUAGCAGUGAAAUGCGUAGAUAUCGAGAGGAACACUCGUGGCGAAGGCGGGUUCCUGGACAUUAACUGACGCUGAGGCACGAAGGCCAGGGGAGCGAAAGGGAUUAGAUACCCCAGUAGUC